rnacentral:lncRNA from 1 species
UGCCUUGUUAUAUCAUGUAUAUCUAUAUAUUUACCAACUCUAUGUGUGAUAUUAGGAAAAUUGAUAGAUUAGGAAGAUUUAGCCAACGACUUGUACCCAUCUAUCUGAAUUUUUACGAUUUUCAUUUGAAAAGUAACACAUUAAGCCCUCCGUACAUAUCGAAGAUGGUAUUUUCUGGGAAAUCCUUUUGAUAGCAUCAAUUUAUAGACGAAAUAG